rnacentral:rRNA from 1 species
AGUGAUCCUACGGGAGGCAGCAGUGGGGAAUAUUGCACAAUGGGCGAAAGCCUGAUGCAGCAACGCCGCGUGAGCGAUGAAGGCCUUCGGGUCGUAAAGCUCUGUCCUCAAGGAAGAUAAUGACGGUACUUGAGGAGGAAGCCCCGGCUAACUACGUG